GAUGAACGCUGGCGGCGUGCCUAACACAUGCAAGUCGAGCGCUUCUCUUCGGAGAAGAGCGGCGGACGGGUGAGUAACGCGUGGGUAACCUGCCCUGCACAAUCGGAUAACAUAACGAGAGUUAUGCUAAUACGGGAUAACAUAAGAAAUUCGCAUGCUUUUACUGUCAAAGCUCCGGCGGUACAGGAUGGACCCGCGUCAGAUUAUGUAGUUGGUAGAGUUACGGCUCACCAAGGCGACGAUCAGUAGCCAACCUGAGAGGGUGAUCGGACACAAUGAAACUGAGACACGGUUCAAACUCCUACGGGAGGCAGCAGUAGGGAAUAUUGCACAAUGGGCGAAAGCCUGAUGCAGCAACGCCGCGUGAGCGAUGAAGGCCUUCGGGUCGUAAAGCUCUGUCCUCAAGGAAGAUAAUGACGGUACUUGAGGAGGAAGCCCCGGCUAACUACGUGCCAGCAGCCGCCGUAA
rnacentral:rRNA from 1 species